rnacentral:rRNA from 1 species
UGUCGUCAGCUCGUGUUGUGAAAUGUUGGGUUAAGUCCCGCAACGAGCGCAACCCUUAUCCUUUGUUGCCAGCGGUCCGGCCGGGAACUCAAAGGAGACUGCCAGUGAUAAACUGGAGGAAGGUGGGGAUGACGUCAAGUCAUCAUGGCCCUUACGACCAGGGCUACACACGUGCUACAAUGGCGCAUACAAAGAGAAGCGACCUCGCGAGAGCAAGCGGACCUCAUAAAGUGCGUCGUAGUCCGGAUUGGAGUCUGCAACUCGACUCCAUGAAGUCGGA